GAGGAUCGAAUCUGAAAUUAACCAAAGCCAAAAUACGCUGCCCCUUUCUCCUCAAAACCGCACACCCCAUCUCCUUCAACCUCACCCACUUGCGGAACCCAUUCCGCCGGAAGACCCAGCCCACAUCUCCAUCUUCACGCCUCCCUCCUCAGAUUACCAUCGACAUAACUCUUCCGCUGCUGAGCUCUAAAACCACCUUUCCAUAGUCAACUCGACUGCUCCACCUCCACCAUCAGCCCGACGCUCCUGCUCUCUCUAGCCAUACCGGAUAGUCCCUUUCCCUCAGCCACACAUCUCCCGUUCCAAUAUCUCCAGUCCCGAAGCGCGCACUUCCCUAACCAGCAGUUCCUGCCUUUAAUUCAGCUCUUCUCACUUCCUUAGCUUAAGGAUUCUGGUGGCAUCAUUUUUAUGUUUCUGUAUAGAGUCAAAUUUCAGACUCAUGUGGAUUUUCUUCAAGGCAGAAUGCUUUUCUUAGGGGACAAUUUCAUGACACAUUUUCUCCUUCAAGCUUAGCCCAAAUCCAAGGAAAUUUGCUGGUAAUUGUAAUGUAAUUGCUUUGCAUGGUCAAUUUUGAGUAAACCCAAAUGGGUUAAAUUGAUUAUGAAGCUGUUUACGGACAAAUUAGUUCUUUGUGCUUUACUGUGUUGCUGAUUUUCUGAUAUGAAUUUUUUUCUGUAAUCUUUCAUGGGGAACCCUGUUGUUAAGAGUGAGAAUGUGGGAACUGAAAUGGAAUGGUCUGGCUUCCAGAAUGAGAUUUCAAACUCUUUGAUUCUCCAAUGAUCGUUGUUCUAAACUACUCUGGCUUCCAGUAUGAGAGCUUGAGGCUUACAGUUCUCCAAUGAUUAAUGAUCCAGGAGUUGAAUAGGUUUUGGAAUCCGUUCAUAUUGCAGCUAAUAAAAACAUUGUUCCUGGUAUUGUAUCUGCUAUGGUGCUUGGUGGGAUUCACAUGGGAACACCGGCCCUCACAUCUAGGGGGGUUGUUGAGGAAGAUAUAGCAGAGUUCUUUGAUGCAGCUGUGAAGUUGUCAUUGAAUAUCAAGGGAGAUGCUAAAGGUUCUUCAUAUUCAAUUUUAGUUUGGUAUUUGUAGCCCGAGUCUAUAGAAGGAAAUAUUCAAUUUUUAGAUGUAACUUUUAAUGUUGGCCUAAAUGGUAGAUCAAAUUUCUAAACAGCAAAAAAAAAAGGCAGACAUGGAUAAUCUGGGAACCACUAGGAAGGGCCAAACUGGCAUGAUACACCCCAUUUUUGUUGAGGAAGACUAAUACUUUGUGUAGUGUCUAAUCUGUCCAAUUGUAUUUGGUAAGCAAAUCUGGGUGCUUUCUGCUCAAAACUUGAAGAUUGAAUGGUAGAAACAAAAACAGGCAGAGGAAUCAUGAUGUAGAUAUAGAGUAGUAGUCUUUUCUCCCAUAUUCUCAGUUGUAAACUUUGACUAUCUUUCUAACAGAUUUUGGGGAGAUCACCAAAGUUUGAUGUUGGGAUUUUGUACAAUCUGCCGCUCUCACUUUGUGUUUCACAUCCCUUUCUCUUUCAUUCUCCAGCAACAUAAAAAUUGAAUUUAAUAUUCAUGAUCCUUGGAGUCCUCAAUUUUAAGUUAAAAAUUCAUUGUCGAUUACUGAAGCAGCACAAAGUUGACUGGAGCCGAGCUGAUUCAAAGAAAUCCGCGUGUAUUUGUUACACAGAUGAUAAGCUUUUGCAGGAAAUUCGAUCAACCCUUUAUCUGUUGAGUACUGUGCUAUUGUUGAUGAGUAACUAGAUUCUGGCCUUGCUCUGUAAUAGGUCACUGAACUUUGUUGUGGGAGUAGAAGUGGACACAAAUUUGUAGCUGGUGAUUUUGCUCUUGAACUUGGUAAAUAGUUGUGAUGCCCCAAAAGCAGCACGCUACGGAAAGGGAUUGGAAGCAGAUGAUUCAAGUUCGUAUUUGGACGAUUGAACAUAAAGAUGGAAAAAUAUAUAAUAUGUAAUAAAAGCCGGUCUCCAAUUUGCACAGUUUGCGAACAGUAAAUUGAAAUCAGGUUUUUUACUCUUCAACCCUCUGUUGCAUUGCUCUUCCUCAAUGCAGCUGGGUUUAAAGUCUUUUAGUCCCUUCCCUUUUUCUUCUCCUUUAUUGCUCUCCACGUGGGGCGGGUGUGCUUUUUUGUCUGUCUGCAGGACUCUUUGGCUUUUCUUCUCUAACUGUGCAGAAUGGAACAAUGCCUUUUUGUCUGUCUUCAGCUGCAUGUACGCGUGGCUAUGGAUGUGCCGUGUUAUUGCUGUGUAGCCACUGUUCAAAACAACACUUUUAUUUUCAAAUGCUGCCAUUGCUUUCGAGUCCCUAUCUUUGGCAUGUCUCUCCCCUCGCUCGUCCCUAAAGAGCCCUAAAGAUACAAUCAUUGAUGGCGUGUUUCUCCCCUCGUGUGUCCCUAGAGAGCCCUAAAGAUACAAUCAUUGAUGCUUUGAGAUUUGUGGUUUGUAGUGAUAUGCUUUUUCCAUCAAUCAUAGGUGGCAACUGAUGGUCAAUUUAGGAUACUUUACCUUCGAUAUCCGGUUGGUUUCAAGUGCUAGCUUUCUUCAGAUUACGUGUCUGUUCUUGAGCAAUCGAGGAUUUACUCACGAUUCUGUUCUUGAGCAAUCAUGGAUUUAGCCUUCGAUGGCAACAGCUUCAAUUUCUUUUUUGGAUUUGAAUCUUUCUUUGUUGAUGCAUAUCUGAAAUUUUUGCGACCAUGUUGGGGACUUGAGAAGAAUGAUUAGGGAGAAGUUUGCUCAUUUUUGUGUGGAUCUGCUCUAUCAGGCUGCCGUCGCAUAUGCUUUCAUCGGCUUGGCUUCUCAUCACGGAGCUUGCUGUCUCCGCUACUCAUUUUCCUCCCACCAUAAUUGUAUUUGGAUCCGUCUUCUCCUCAUCCCUCUUAGGUUUGGUCGUUUUCUUCUUUAGAAACCUUAGAAUCUUUUCUUCUACAUCAAUGCAAUGCUUAUAUGCUGCAUGUUCGGUGUACAGUACUUUUUCAUUUGUAGACGUAAUUGUCGUUACGGCCAUUACAUAACGGUAAUGGUCAUUACUAAUAAUUAAAAUUCUUUUAUAUCUUUUAUCUUUUGCUCUAUAUUCUCAUUGUUAUUAGUUUUUACACUUUUCAGCAGUUUCAAACACUAUAAUUUUUUAAGUUUUCUCUUCUUUUCUCUUUCAAAUUUCAAAUUUCAAUUUUCUCAAUAUAUUUCUCAUAUAAACUUAGAUCCAUUAUAAACUACUCUAUUUUCAAGCUUAUUUCUUCUAAAAAAUUAGUUAAGUUUUAUCUAUUUUAGUUUUUAAUUGUUGUUUUUUUCUUUUUUUUUUUUUUUGUAAAUUUUUGUGCAUUAAAGUAUUAGUUUUGAGUCAAAAUUGUACUUUGAGCUAUUAGUUUACUCGAUCUAUAAAGAUUAUAUUGAUUUUUCUUCUUUUAAACUAUAUGAUAUUUAACUUAAAUUAAAUAAUCUAUAUUUUAUAUAUUUAUAUUUAUCUGAAUUAAAUCUAAUCAAUAUUAUUUUAUUCAUGAACUUUGCAAAUUUUUUUAAAAAAUUUGCGUAGCGCCAAGCCGUUACUGUUAUGUUACAGGUCUGUUUUCGUUAUCUGCGACUACGACCGCAAAUGUUGCCGCGACUGCGAUUUAAAACCAUGAAGUUUACCCUCGAAAAUGAAAUCGGGACUAUGUUUUCACUGUUUGUAGCGGCCUGCAGUAUUCUCAAACAUUGUAUCGGAUGUUAUGUUGAAGAGUCUUCAUUUAACAGAGAGGGAGAUAUACAAAGUAACAAGAGCCCGUGGGAUAGAGGUUGCACUAGCGAACAGAUGCAAGGGAAUGAUCCAACUGUUCUUGAAUAUUAAAGGAUCCAUUUCUCCGGUUGUUCCAAGUAAAAAUAGGUCCCCUAAACCCCAUACCUGUAAGAGCCAUUCCAUCUAAGAAAUUCCAAAAAUAAUCAACUGCAGAACCAUUUAACCCAGUAUCACCCAUCUUCUCCCAUGAAUGUAAUACACAAUCAAAAUCACCCACUAUCAAAGUUUUAGCAUCAAGAGAAGGAAGGAAGGUUAGUGUUGGGUACCUGAAGGGGCUCAUGUUGGGCUUGACAUUGGCAGACAGUGAACGGUUGUGUAGAAGAUGGGUCACAAAUAGAAAUGGGUUUUGGGUUAUUUGUCUUUUGCACUUCUAUAGUCCAAAGAUGGUUCUUCGGCUGACACGUCUCCUCUUUCUUCCUUUCAGUACGUUCCUUUAUUACCAGACCAUCCAAAAACCUUAUUUGCAGGUGUUCAAUCAAGAAUGGAAAGUUGUAUAGCAUUAAAUCCACAUCGAUAUUUUCCUUACCGAUUGAAGAGAGAUAUUGCUUAAAAAGGUGUGGUAUUUCAGAUCUACUAGGUACUUCUAAGAGUUGUUUUUGAAGCUGAGAUGACACAUGGCUCAAGGUUCUCAGAAAGUGGGUAGUAACGGUAGGGACUGCUGAAACAUUUGAAGGCAAGACUACCUCUUUCCCUUUAUAAGUACUAUGCAUUAAUUGUCUCUCCAGGUGGACGUGACUUACCUCUGAUGGAGCCUGAGUAUCAAUGAGGUUGUGUUCUGACAUUGGCGACGAUAACCUUAGACUGGUUCCAAUCUGACUGACAUUGUUAAAUUGGUUGUGCUCUUGGCUUGGUUGGAUUGUAAUUGUCUCAGCAUCCUUAAUUGCUAUUAGUGAUUUGCUUGUGGAGCUUGUUAUAGCAGGAUCCUUGAUCACUAUCCUUGAUUCACCUAUGGGAAUAUCAUUGUGGGUUGUAAGGUUGAUGCCACCACCUGUAAUUUAUUAGGUGAGGACGCUCUGAUCCAAGGUCCAAACGCCAUUCUUCUACCGUUGGCUUUUGUUACUGAAGGAGGUCUAAGAGUUGGGCAAUUGAUGCUAAAAUGCUCUAAAAUUCCACAAUUAAAACACACAUCCGGUAAUCUCUCAUAUUUGAAUGCUACCCAGUUAAUGGAACCAUCAAUUCUCUUGGAAUGAAACCCUGUAAUGAAAGGUUUUUCAAGACACACCACAGCUCUAAUUCGCAUCUAUGUAACAUUCCCAGGUUUGUCCCAAUGACUCUAAUCAUGCUCCAAGAAGCCCCCCACAAAAUUACCAAUUGAUUGAGCAUUUUGAGAGGUGAUUUUGUUUGGUGGAAGCCUGGAAACUUGGAUCCAAAAGAGAUUUCAAAGGAUAAAUCAUGCGGCCACUCCUUAAUAACAAGCAAAUUGCUUCGAACCGGCCAUGGUCGGCCUUGUAGAAUUAGUUGAGCUUCUGCUUCUUCCUCAAAAGAGAAUAAGAAAAUAUUAUUUCCUUUGGCAGCUACUGAAAAAUCUUUUUUUUAGGGACCAUACCUGUGAUAAGAUAGUCUUUUACUGUGUUGGCGCUGAAGCACUUCCCUAUUAUUAAUUUUUCAAUCAAACGUUUUUGUUGAACAAGUUUGCUCUGAAUGUUCUCUUCU